UCCGCUGGUGUUGUCAGGACUGUGGGCAUGGAUGGAGAUGGGUCGGCCUCGGUCCUGGUGACUUGGGGUGUCUCUAGGGGAGACAGAGGUUGGAAACAGGUUCUGCAUGCAAACGCUCCACCGUCUGAGGCAAAACCAAGUCCUUGGAGGUGAACACGCAGAACCCUUUCUCCAAGCAGAUAGGCUUAGGCCCGAGAGGUUAUGGACCCCGUAAGUGGAGCCCGUGACCCCAGGCUCGAGCUGCCUCAGCCUAGGUGACUGAAAGUGCAAGGAAACCAAGCUGGAAGUGUCAUCGCAGCACUGAGGAGACGGAGGCAGAAGGAUCGCUGCAAUUUGGAGGCCAGCCUGAGCUGCACUGCUUCCAAGAACAAAACAGAUCUCUAAAACAGAUCCGGAAACUAACAGUGUCACAGUUGGAAGAAACAGAGAUGAAUGUCAGUGCAUCUGAUCUGACACGAUCAACACUUAUGGAG